CCUACGGGAGGCUGCAGUGAGGAAUAUUGGUCAAUGGGCGCGAGCCUGAACCAGCCAAGUCGCGUGAGGGAAGACGGCCCUACGGGUUGUAAACCUCUUUUGCCGGGGAGCAACGGGCGUCACGUGUGGCGCCACUGAGAGUACCCGGAGAAUAAGCAUCGGCUAACUCCGUGCCAGCAGCCGCGGUAAUACGGAGGAUGCGAGCGUUAUCCGGAUUUAUUGGGUUUAAAGGGUGCGUAGGCGGAUGGUUAAGUCAGUGGUAACAUUGAGGGGCUCAACCCCUUCCAGCCAUUGAAACUGGCGCGAGUGAGUGGAAGAGAAGUAUGCGGAAUGAGUGGUGUAGCGGUGAAAUGCAUAGAUAUCACGCAGAACCCCGAUUGCGAAGGCAGCAUGCCGGCUUCCGACGGACGCUGAGGCACGAAAGCGUGGGGAUCGAACAGGAUUAGAUACCCUGGUAGUC
rnacentral:rRNA from 1 species